rnacentral:rRNA from 1 species
AUUGAACGCUGGCGGCAGGCCUAACACAUGCAAGUCGAACGCGUGGCGGACGGGUGUGUAAUGUCUGGGAGACUGCCCGAUGUAGGGGGGUAUCUACGGGAAACGCUAGCUAAUACCGCAUACCCUCGGAUGUGCCCAGAUGGGAUUAGCUAGUAGGUGGGGUAACGGCUCACCCAGGCGACGAUACCCAGCUGGUCUGAGAGGAUGACCAGCAACACUGGAACUGAGACACGGUCCAGACUCCUACGGGAGGCAGCAGUGGGGAAGAUUGCACAAUGGGCGCAAGCCUGAUGCAGCCAUGCCGCGUGUAUGAAGAAGGCCUUCGGGUUGUAAAGUACUUUCAGCGAGGAGGCGUUACUCGCAGAAGAAGAACCGGCUAACUCCGUGCCAGCAGCCGCGGUAAUUC